rnacentral:lncRNA from 1 species
GGCAGUGAGGUGUGAGAUUAAAGUUUUUGCGAGCAUAACUGGCCGAAUAACGUGGCCCAGUAAGUGGAGAAUUAUCGGAGAGGCCUUGACCCUGCCCUUCAUGAUUGUCAGCAGACGCCCGCCCAGCUCCGGGCGUCGUGGGUGUGUCAUGGGCACGCACUGUCCUCUGAAGUCAUCC